AAUUAAAAGUGUGUACUAAGAAAUAUGUUAAUAGGAUAAUGCAUUUACUUGAAAUAUAUACAGUCUUAGACGGAGGAACAAGCCUCUAGUUGAAUGUUCUUUCUUUUGAUCAAUACAAUAUUGGUGGAGGGGGAGGGGAUGACAGGGUUUGAACUCAUGUCGUCUAGGUGUCAGAUGGGGGAAAUACUGGUUCAAGCAAGUUUUGGCUCCUCUAGUUGAAUGUUGAGGUUGAAUAUUAGUGGGCUGGUUAGUUGGUUUCUUUAGUUUGUAAAUACAGGAAAUGAGUUGCUUUUUCUUUGUUAUUGAAUUAUUGUGCAUUUGGGUACGAACUCCAAUUUUUGUAAAAUCUACUCUCCCAAAGUUGCUGAAAUUAAAAUAAUCAUCCCACCAAUUUGUUCAAAGGUGUUUCUCACAAAUUAAUUAUUGAAGUAAAUGUUGUAGAAAGCAAAUUGGUAGUCUGCCAAGACCCACUUGAAUAUUCUGUGAAAACCCAUGGGAAUAGAUCAAACUCCAAAGGCUUAUGUUAAAACUAGGAAUUGGACUAUAGUUACUACUUUGAUGUGACUUAAAGAUCCAAUGAGGUAGUACCAGCUUGCCUCAUCUGUCAUGUCUUGGUCCUGGGCAUUUGUCUUCUAGGCUUAAUCGAUGGGUGAGUUUUGGAGGAGCUUUGAACUGUUGAUCUUUGAGCAUCAUGGAUCACCUCUAUUAAAGUUCAAGCUGGUUUCUGCAAUUAAUUGUUCCUGCAGGAAGUCUUAUUUAUCUUUUAAAUGUGCUUAUUUUCAAAAUAAAGGAAAUGAGGACAACAUCACUAGAAUUCCUUUUUAUUGAACUUUGUUUUCAAUAUGCUUAAAUCUUUUGUAGAGUUCUUGGUUGGGAUGCUUUAUUCUUUUUGUAGAUUUUUGGCAAUUGUAAUCUUAUGUUUGGAAUUUAUUUACGACCAUCAUGGUUUGGAGCUUGUUUCACUCAGUAUGCACGGUUUUUCUCCUUAUCUUUUCAGAUACAUGGAGAUUUUGUUCUUAUUAGUGGAGAUACAGUGAGCAACAUGUCGCUUACACAGGCACUUCAAGAACAUAAAGACAGAAGGAAAAAAGAUGCUAAUGCUAUAAUGACCAUGGUUGUUAAACAGUCAAAGCCUUCACCGAUCACCCAGCAGUCUCGACUUGGUACCGAUGAACUCUUCAUGGCUAUAAAUCCUGUUACGAAACAGCUUCUGUAUUACGAGGAUAAAGCAGAAUAUUCAAAGGGGUUUAUAUCUCUUGAUAAAACAUUGAUAGCUGACAAUCCUUCUGUCAUUCUGCACAAUGACAAACAGGUUUUGUUCUUCAAAUCAUAUUGUGAAAUUAUCUGGUUACUUUUUAUAUUACCUAUUUUGCCAUCAUUAUAUAUAUUCACACAGACACUUAAAAAGGAAUAUAUUAAUAUGUUAUGAUAAAUUUGCUUCUUUUGUGGACGUGGUGUAAAACUUUACAAAUUUUAGUUGUGUUUCUCGGUAUUGAACAGAGUUGUUUGUAAAUAAUUAUAAAAUAGAUGUAAUGAGUGUAUACUUUUUCUUGCUUGGCAAGUGAUUGAUGCCUUAAAACUCUUGCUUGUUUCAUUUGAUGGGUAGCAGUCAAAAUCUCUGUUUUAGUGCUAUUAUAAACUUGUUUGCUCUUCUCCAAACUCAAAUGGCUCUUUACAACAUCACUUUGUUCUUCAUUUUUUUUUUACUCUCAAAAUAUUUUUGCUUUUUAUUUAUUGUACGCUGUCUUUAUCCUUUUUCUCAGUGUAUUCACACUGAAAUCAUUGAUUGUCCAUAAUCAGAAAGAACCUUAAACCUUGAUCUCAACUCUUGGUCCAUUAGAAGUUUCAAAGUUCCUUUUUCAAGCUACAUGGCAUGAAACCUUUUGCUACUGGUUCAGCGAUCUGUCUGUUAGUGGCUUGAUUAGCACAUAUUGCCUGGAUAAAUAUUAAACAUAUAUGAUUUAUGCUACUUGUUUUUAGUCGAAUGAUAUUUUACUAAAUAAUUUGGGUUUGCUUUUGCAGGACUGUUAUAUUGACAUAUGCUCUCAACAAGUACUAAGUCUUUUCACAGACAAUUUUGAUUAUCAACAUCUAAGACGUCAUUUUGUAAAGGGACUGCUGGUUGAUGAUGUAUGUGUUACAUAUCAUACACUUAUAUCAUGUUGUUUUAAAAUAUUUUCUUAUCACUUUUUCACCCUUAAUAAAACAAAAUUGUGUGCUUGCACAUUCAAAGUCAAAGUUUAGAUAAGAAAGAAAAAAACUGGGUGGUUUGUCAUUGUACACUCAAAUGUGCAUUGUCGUGGCAGUCUUAGCUGACCCUUCUGUCCGAAUGAUGUAGAAUUGUCUGCUAAUCUACGGGAAGCUUUAGUCUAGAUCUAUGCUUUGGAAUUUGCAAGCCAGCCUUUUUUGUUUAGUAACAUGCAUCAUAAUUUGUAAAACAUUAUACUUUCCGUUAAUUGUAAUCUAAAAAAAAUUAAUUCAAGAAGCUUUGAUUAUUUUAAUGUUUAUGGGAUAGGUAAACAUGGUGUUGCAUGCGUAAUCAUCAAAACAAUGACUUAUCUAUUCUUUACAAAAUGUAGACAUUUGUAUUCAUUACCCUUAAAAAAUAUAAACAUCGUAAAAAAUUUAUAGGAUAAUAGUUAGAACAUAGAAAUUUUGAAAGGAAGUUUGGUUAUCCUUAGUAAAUAUACUCAUCAUAUAUGUGUAUCUUAGCAUAAUACUGUGCAUAACAUCCAAAUAUAAGAUAGGACGAUGUAGUUGAUGAUGCCGUUUAUGUUAUCUAAUCUUGACAUCUGAUGAUAAACAUAAGAAUAGAAUUGGAGAAAUAUUACAAUUGCAUAUUGUUACCGGGCUGAAUAUCAUAAGAUUUUGUAUCAUAUUGCUUCCACUUUUAUCUAUGGCUGCAGAUCAUGGGUUACAAGAUAUUUACUCAUGAAAUUCACUCAAGUUAUGCUGCUAGGAUAGAUAACUUUCGAAGUUAUGAUACCAUUAGCAAGGACAUAAUUCAGAGGUGGACUUAUCCAUUUGUUCCAGAUGUGCUCUGUGGAAGUUCUGCAAUAAAGGUUGAGAGGCAGGGAACUUAUCGAGCAUCUGGUAUAGAUUGAAACAAAUUAAUGAUUAUUACGUAUUUGACUGCCAUAAAAGUUUCAUGCUUUAAACAUGUAACAUCUCAUCAUUUAUGCUUGUACCUUUUUAAUUUGUUUAGUUCGGGACUUUCCUUGGAAGUGGUUUAAUCAAUUUUUAUUUUCAGAUGUCACACUGUCACGUUCUGCACAAUUUGGUUCAUUCACUUUCAUUGGACAAGGCACCAAAAUAGGGACUGACACAAAAAUCUCUCAUUCUGUUAUUGGAGAAAGGUGCACUAUUGGAUCAAAUGUCACAAUAGAAGGCUCUUAUAUAUGGAAUAAUGUUACCAUUGAAGAUGGCUGUCGGUUAAGGAAUGCAAUAGUAUGUGACGGUGUAAUACUGAAGUCAGGAGCAGUUCUGCAACCUGGAGUUAUUCUAUCUUUCAAGGUAUGCAUCCCUUGGAGCACUUUAUCCCUUUUUUAAUUGUCAAAUGUCAUCAUUAUUAUUACGGUGAUUAGUUUGAAUACAUGUCUACAUGCAGUUAUAUGAAUUUGCAUCAUGCCUCAAGACAUAUACUUGUUCAAAUAUCUAUAAAUGUGAUAGACUAAGAUUUUAUGAUAUAUUAUGGUGACACCAUUAUGGGCUGUCUCCCAACUAAAGUAACUCAAAGUUGUAAGUUUUCUUGGCGGUUUCUGAUUUCUUUCUGGACGUGCAGCUUACAAUUUCUUGUUGCCAUUGAUAAACAAGUCAACCAGAUUUUCUCUUUUGGGAUUUGAAAUGUUUUACCUAAAAAGCUGUAUCUCAAACGUUUGUAAUUGCUAUAUGAACAAUAAUCAUUUCAGUUAUUUUUUUCUUUCUUGUACUUGUGCUUCAUCCUUAUGAUACAACUUCCUGUCUUGUUACAACCAUCAUUCCCACAUCCCCACCCUACCUGGAGUUCUAGCUAUCCCCUUAUAGUGUGUUCAAUUAUAAGUCUGUCUGCAACCUUCCCCAUGGUCAUCCUCAAUCUUCUUUUCAGGUCUUUAUCUUAACUGGAGCUGGAAAUUCGAAACAGCAUACUCAAUUUUGAACCUUGUAUUUUUCUUAUAUAUUCCUUAAUUACAAUAUUUUCUCUGGUUAAUAAUACUUCUUGUAUGGCUCAAAGUUAUGUUCUUUGCAAGAGAUCUGAACAUUUAUUUUCUCCAGGUUGUAGUUGGACAACAGUUUGUUGUUCCUGCCUACUCAAAGGUUUCUUUACUUCAACAGCCAACCCAGCAAGAUAGUGAUGAGGAAUUGGAAUAUGCUGACAGUACUAGUGGCACUGGGGAGCUUCGAUGUAAGUUCCUAGAGCUAUAUGAAUUUUUAAUAUCUGUUUUUUUUUUUAAUGUUUCAGGUAUUUAGCGAAUCUUGUAAUAUUGCAUUCUUCAUUUUCUUUAAACAUAGUAUAUGAAGGUUGCACCUAUUUGUCUUCUUUAUAUCUUUGAUGUCUAGGUUAAUAUAUUACAUCUCUAGAUUCUAUGGUAGGAUGUAAUGAAGGCUGUACUUUAUGCUGUUGAAAGAAGAAGCUUUUGGGAAAUCAUGCUAGUUUAUGGAUUUAGGCAAACGAGUCAGAACUAAUUUCUUCUUUGAUCUAUUCUUUUCUGAGUGCAUUUUUGUUAAAAAAAUUCUGUCCAUGUGCUUUUGUUGUCUCUCUUUGUUGUGUAUCCUGCAUAUCCUUUUCAUCAGUGUAUAGAAAUAUUAGUUAACUUAUUUCUUGGAAAUAAAAUUUUGCAAUUACUUGAUAUCUGUUACGCAACCAGAGCCUUAUGUACUUAACAAAAAAGGAUGAUAAAAGGUGAAAGUUUUUCAAAUUUAUUUUAGACCAACUUUUUCAUUAUUUAUCCUCUUUAAAAUUCUUCCUCUAGUAUAUAUCGCUUUUAUGGAUGUUCUCUUGAAGGAGAGAAAAAAAGAAAAGAAAAGAGAAGCAGUCGAUACACAUAUAACCAAGAGAAGGAUACAUGUCAUGCCAAAGAAAUUCUAUGUUGAGUAUUCAUAGUUAGAAUAUUGUAUGUGUUGUGUGCAUGCUGUAAAUGUGAUGCUUUAUGGACGGCAGACUAUGGAAUAUGCUGAUGAGGUUUGGUUGAAUUGGAAAAAAUAAUGAUAGAACAAAAGUCAUUUUGGUUAACUUGUGAAUGUCUUCAUUCUGUCAGAUUGCCUUCCCCCCCCCCCCGGGUUUUCUCUCUCCCGGGAGAAAGAAAUGUUUUUCCAUACCUUUGAGUAGAGUUGAAUCUAAUUUUUUCUUUCAUUUCCUUCAUUUGAUUUUUAGAUGCUAUAUGCUGUCUUUUUUGUUUUUUUUUCUUUGUUUAUGCAUUACAAUAUUUCUUGGUUAGCACUUCCUUUCUUUCUCUCCUCCUCUUCUCUUUGCUUUGAAGCUUAUAGAAGCAAAAUUUAGCUUUUAUGGAAGAGUAUAUUUCAGCACUUAUAUAAUUGUUUAUAUGUUAUUUUCUUUUUGGAGUAUAUGGUUUAAUGAUUGGUAAUUUGUGCCCGCAAUCUUUGUUCUGUUAUUUUUGCGAUAAGCCACCAUUUUUAUCUCUAGAAAAGGGAGAUCAUUGUUAUAUGUGCUUACAAAAGUUAACAAAGCAAUUUUUGGUGCAGCGGAUAAAUUGAAUGGGGACAUUGCACCUGAUUUAUCUGAGACAGCAUCUGAGGUUGGUUCUAUUGCUUGCUUCUAACAUUAUUUUUUGUUAUUGCUGCCAGUUUUGCUUGCAAGGUGGUGCAGAGUGAAUAUGGAGAAAAUAAGGACUCGUAAGCAAUUGAACAUAAUUAUAAAAUAGGAAAAAAGUAUUAUGAUAUAUCUUUGUUGAUAUAAUUUGUAAAAACACUCAGAGGAAAAAUUCUGUUAUAUUGCUACUGCUUUAGUUGCAGCUUUAUAAAGAGAAAAAUAAUCAUUUUAAAGGAAAUAAAUCCUAAUCCCUAAGAAUCAGUAAUUGAUAUCCUAAUUUCCUAAGAAUCAGUAACUGAGAUUAGUUUCUAUUUACAAGAGAUCACAACAGAUUUCUAUCCUUAAUUAUAGGGAUUCCAAUACCAUCAGAUUUCUAUCCUUAAUUAUAGGGAUUCCAACACUCCCCCUCAAGUUGGAGUGUAGAUGUUAAUCAAACCCAGCUUGCCACUAAGUUCUUCAAACAUGUUUCUGUUUAAACUUUUGGUUAACAUGUCUGCAACUUGUUGUCUAGUAGGUAGGUAGAUGAUGCAUACUUCUCCUGAGUGUACUUUUUCUUUUAUAAAGUGACGAUCUAUUUCCACAUGUUUGGUCCGAUCAUGAUGCACAGGAUUAUGUGCUAUGCUGACAGCAGCCUGGUUGUCACAGUACAUCUUCAUAGGUCUGGUAAAAGGCACUUUUAGUUCUCCCAUAAGUCUUUGUAUCCAAACUCCUUCGCAUAUACCAUGAGAUAGUGCUCGAUACUCUGCCUCUGCACUGCUGCGUGCUACCACAGAUUGUUUUUUGCUCCUCCACGUCACGAGAUUACCCCAAACAUAACUACAAUAGCCGCUUGUAGAGCGUCUAUCAUUAACAGAACCUGUCCAGUCUGCAUCAGUGUAGACUUCCACGCUUCGGUUGAUAGUCUUCUUGAAGUACAGGCCUUUACCAGGAGUUCCUUUUAGGUAUCUUAGUAUUCUAUAUGCAACUUCCAGGUGCUUCUCCCUCGGGGCAUGCAUAUACUGGCUAAUAACACUCACACUGAAGGCUAUGUCUGGACGGGUGUGAGAUAGGUAGAUGAGCCUUCCUACUAGACGUUGAUAUCUCCCCCUGUCGAUUUCUUCUCCAUCCUCAUUAGUUCCCAAUUUGAGGUUAAACUCCAUAGGAGUUUCGGCUGGUUUGCUGCCCAUCAAACCAACUUCCGACAGUAGAUCAAGAAUAUAUUUCCUUUGGGAAAUGAAGAUACCUUUUUUCGACCUUGCUACCUCCAUACCAAGAAAAUAUUUAAGACUCCCCAAGUCUUUAAGUUCAAACUCUGUACCAAGAAAUUCUUUCAAUCUCAAAAUUUCACUCGAGUCAUUUCCUGUUAUUAUUAUAUCGUCAACAUAAACGAUAAGGAUGCAGCAUUUAUCCUCUUCCGAGUGCUUGUAGAACAUGGUGUGGUCUGCCUGUCCUUGAAUGUAAUUUCUGCUAGUCAUAGCUUUUGCAAAUCGGCUGAACCACGCUCGUGGAGAUUGUUUCAGCCCAUGCAAGGACUUCUUCAACUUACACACUUGGUCCUUGUUUUCUUCAAACCCUGGUGGGAAAUCCAUAUACACCUCCUCAUUUAAUUCCCCGUUGAGAAAAGCAUUUUUUACAUCCAAUUGAGUCAAGUGCCAAUCAAGGUUGGCAGCAAGAGAUAGCAGGACCCGAACGGUGUUUAGCUUGGCAACCGGUGCAAACGUCUCGUUGUAGUCGAGACCAUAAGUUUGGGUGAAUCCCUUAGCCACAAGUCGAGCUUUGUAUCGGUCAAUACGGCCAUCGGGUUUAAAUUUCGUAGUGAAAAUCCAUUUGCACCCUACGGUUUUUUUCCCUUUAGGCAGAUCCGAGACUUCCCAUGUUUCAUUGUUUUUGAGGGCAUUCAUUUCUUCCAUCACGGCUUGUCUCCACUCAGCUGAUUCAAGAGCCUCUUCUAUAUUUUUUGGAAUUUUUACAGAAUCAACAUUAGUCAUAAAAGCUCCUUGUACCCUUUCGAACUGCAAUUGGAAGAUAGAUGGAUGGUGACGGAGGUGGGACUUCUGCUUCAGAACAGUCCUCGGUUGGAGAUGUAAUUGGCACUGCUGUAUCAGUUUCAGGAGAACGAUUCCGUCGGGAGUAAACUUGUAUUUGCUGUUUUCCUUGACCAAGUGGCUGUUGUACUUCGGUGGAGGUAUUGUCAUUGGGAAGGACGGUGUUAAAUUCUUGCUGUAUAGGGGAAACAACUAAAUCUGGGAUAGUAGUAGUAGGAUCAGGCGGUAUAAUGAGGAGAGUAUUAAGGGUCUCAUCUUCAUUAAAAAUCUCCCCCUGAAGAUGAGAUGCUGCAAAGUAUGGUUCAUUUUCAAAGAAGGUAACAUCUCGAGAGACAAACAUUCGGCGCAAUGUUGGUGAGUAACACUUAUAGCCUUUUUGUGUAGGGGAAUAUCCAAUGAAGAUACAGGUGUGGGCUCGAGGAUCAAGUUUGGAUUGAUUUGGUUGAUGGUUAUGGACAAAAGCUUUACAGCCGAAUAUUUUGGCUGGAAGAUUAGGGACAUGAAAUAGAGGGAAGGCCUUUAAAAGAGUAUUUAGAGGUGUUUGGAAAUUGAGGAUCUUUGAUGGCAUUCGGUUUAUGAGAUAGCAGGCAGUAAGGACAGCUUCUCCCCACAAGUAUUUUAGAACAUUCAUAGUGAACAUUAUGGCUCGAGCCACAUCAAGAAGAUGACGAUUUUUCCUCUCAGAGAUCCCGUUUUGUUGAGGAGUGUCAGGACAAGAGCUUUGGUGUAUAAUGCCUUGGUCAGAAAGGAAUGGACUUAAGACAGAGUUGAAGUAUUCUCUCCCAUUGUCAGUACAGAGGGUAUGUAUGGUAGAGUUGAAUUGGGUUCGAACCAUUGAGUGAAAAUUUUGGAAUACUUUGGGUGUUUCAGAUUUUUCUUUGAGUAGAUAGACCCAACAGACCCUAGUAUGAUCAUCAAUGAAUGUUAUAAACCAUCUAGCCCCUGUAAUAUUUUUCACUCGGCUGGCUCCCCAUAGGUCACUAUGGAUUAACGAAAAAGGUUGGGACUGAAUAUGUGGUUUUAAUGGGUAUGGCACACGGGUAUGUUUAGAUAAUUGGCAAAUUUCACACUUCAAGGAAUUAAUACUUUUAUUUCGAAAUAACAGCGGAAGAUGUUUUUUCAAAUACACAAAGUUUGGAUGUCCUAACCUACGGUGCCAUAAUAUAAUAGUGUCCUCUUUUGCAGUGGAUAGAGCCAAUCCCCCUUGUGUACUGUUUUUAUUCCAAAUAUAUAGUCCAUCAUCAACUUUAGCAGUGCCAAUCAUCCUCCCCGAUUUCUGUUCCUGUAUCACACAACCAAUUGCAGAAAAUUCAGCAAGAACUUUUUCAUUCUUAGUAAGUUUACUAAUUGAAAGUAAAUUACAGGACAAGUUUGGAACAUGUAGGACUUUAUCGAGAGAAAUUCUCUGUCAUUUGUACUUCUCCUAUUCCAGCCACAGGUGAGUAAGAACCGUCAGCUAUGCGGAUUCGGGAUUUGUUAUAACAAGGAGUGUAGGUGUGAAACAACGUGGAGUCACCUGUCAUGUGAUCAGAGGCGCCCGAAUCGAGUAUCCAAGGAGAUUGAUUAUUAGAUUCAAAAGCAAUGUUGAGGGCAAUACCUUGAGUUGCUAGAGAUCCAUGAGUAGUGGGAGUACCAAGUAUCUUAUGGAGAGUCUCAAGCUGUGUUUUGGUUAAGCGAACAUCAAGAACAUCAUCAGCAGUAGUGGAGGAUAACAUGGCAGUCUUAUUAUCCUUCUGUUUUUUUUCAGGAUAGCCAUGGAGUUUGAAGCAUUUUUCUUUUGUAUGACCAACACGAUUGCAGUGACUACACCAUGGUCUUGUUGAUCCAGAAUCAUUUCCAGCACGUUGUUUUUGUGGCUGUGGACCUUUGGAGAUGAGAGCAGAGGUUUCAGUAGGACGAUUAGAAAUUGGAGUCAUAGGUUUAGGUUCCUUUGAAUCUCCCAUCAUGACAAGAAGACGCUUUUCUUCUCUUCUAACUUCUGCAAAUGCUUCACCGAUCGUUGGAAGAGGUGAUCUACCCAGAAUUCGGCCACGGACCUCAUCUAACUCACGGUUCAGUCCUUCUAAAAACUCAUAAAGACGUUCAUUGUUGAGAUGGACCAUAAACCUGUUGUGUUCUAAGCCUUCACCCUAAUCUGCCUCAUAAUACAUAUCCAGUUCUUGCCACAAAAUUUUCAAAUUGUUAUAGUAGUGAGUUACCUCGAGUGUUCCUUGUCGGAUGUCCUUUAACUUAAGCUUGAUUUCAAAUACUUGGGAGGCGUUUCCAAGAUCUGAGUAGUUUUCUUUGACUGCAUUCCACAUGUCUUUUGCAGUUUUGAAAAAAAGAUAGGUGCGGCUUAUAUGGCCUUCCAUCGAAUUGAUUAGCCAAGCCAUUACAAUUGAAUUGUUGAGUUCCCAAGUGGCAUAAGUAGGAUCAGCCAUGGUUGGUCGUGGGAUUUCUCCAUUGAUGUACCCUAAUUUGCCACGACCACGAAUCACCAUAAGAACCGAUUGAGACCAUUGCAAGAAGUUCUUCCCAUUUAGCCGAUGAUUGGUGAUUAUAAGGGAGGAAUUAAUUUCACCUUGAGUGAUUCCCUGAUUGAUAUUCUGAGUUAUUUGUGAUGUCUCAGUUUCAGAGAAAUUCUCAUUGAUAUCACCCAUUGGAGGACUAAACCACAGAAAUUUUUAGUAAGGGAAUUUAGAGAAAAAAAUAGGAUCGAAUGAAUCCUAUAGCUCUGAUACCAUGUAAAAACACUCAGAGGAAAAAUUCUGUUAUAUUGCUACUGCUUUAGUUUACGCUUUAUGAAGAGAAAAAUAAUCAUUUUAAAGGAAAUAAAUCCUAAUCCCUAAGAAUCAGUAAUUGAUAUCCUAAUUUCCUAAGAAUCAGUAACUGAGAUUAGUUUCUAUUUACAAGAGAUCACAACAGAUUUCUAUCCUUAAUUAUAGGGAUUCCAAUACCAUCAGAUUUCUAUCCUUAAUUAUAGGGAUUCCAACAUAAUUAAAUAGCAUGAGGUUGAGUAUGAAAUGUAUCUUCAGACUCUCUCCCUCAUACUUCUCUGGCAAUUAAAUAAUAAUUUGGAUGAUGCAAUUGUUUAUGCUUUCAGCUUGGUACUGGUGGAGUUGGUUAUAUUUGGACAGUCUUUGAAGGAGCGUAUGAUGAAGAAUGGAGGCAUUCAGUUGCACCUAUUCCCACAGAUAAACUGGUUAAGCUAAUGCUAGAUAAAGAUGAGGAUGAGGAACUGUUAACUCAAGAUGGGAAUGUUAUUUCAGCUUCAAGAGAGCUGAAAACUGAUUCUGAUGGUAAUGGUUCUGAAGAUGACGAUAAUGAAGACUCUAGAGAUGACUAUGUAUCCUUUGAGAAAGAGGUAAUCUGUGACUAUAUUCAUGGUGAUAAUAUGUAGUAUAGAGAACUAUUUAUAGUUUCCAUUCCAAUGGGCAGGUUGAAGCUACCUUUUUAAGGGCUGUUCAUGAAAAUGUCAAAGUAGACCUUGCAGUCUUAGAGGUGAAUGCACUUCGGUAAGUUACAUUCAUUUUAUUCUCCAAGGCCUGAGCAAACCGGGGCCAUUAACCUAGUUGGUGGGCUCCUUGACUGACAUUUUUCUUAACCUUUUUUUUUUUUCCCUAAUUGUAAAAAUAUACGCUGCUCUUUUACAUUAUUUGAAAGUAUAGAACCUAAAAUCUUCAGCAAUGGAUACAGUUCAUCACAUGACUUUUGCUGUUUUAACUGUUGCUCUUUUUCCAAUUGCUAAUAAUUGUUUACCACAUCCUUCUAAUUUAUGCUUCAUCAGUUUAUUCAAAUCCAGCCUUGUUUGCUUUAUCCCCUUUAGUUUGAUGCCUAUUCAGCACCUGAAUGGUGCUCAAGAGCAUUAGCAAAAUUACCCCCUAUCUCUAGCGGACCAUCCUUGAUGCUUUCUCGCUAAGGAGAUCUUCAAUCAGCACUUAUUUUUUUGCUUCAAAGAUAUGUUCAAACAGAGCUGCUAUUGUAUUUCUCAAUAUGGGCUAAUAUUUUGCCUAAACCUGUUUCCUGCCAUUAUUUCUUCAGGUUGUCUUACAACAUGGCAUCUGUUGACUGUGGUGGAGCAAUAUUUUACUCAAUGAUGAAGUUGGCAGUCGAAUCUCCACAUAAUUCUGCGAGUAUGUGUGCUGCUUUUUAUUAUGUUCCCUUUUCAUGAUUAUUCUGGUAGUUAUAUAUUCACACUGCACUGAUAUGAAGAAACCUUUUUGUUGUUUUACCAUACAUCUCUAAAUGAUUGAAUUUAAUAAAUAUUCACAGAUGCAUAGCUUUCACAUAAGUGGGCAGUGAGUUUUUGCAUCAAGUAAAUUCUGAUAAACUCUUCAAUCUAUUGAAGCCCCAAACUUAUAGUAUUUUCCAAAUUAUUAGAGCACCAUUAGCUAAUUCCAUCUUGCUAUUCUAUGUUGAAUCUCAGUGAUUGGUAUUCUUAAUCUUUGAAUUAUGUAGUUCAAAGGUUACACAUUGACUCUAAGGUUCAUACAUAAUUGUCUUAUGUCAUUCAUGAUUUGUUCAAAACAAAGAUGGCACUUUAAUCUUCUCAGAAGUUGUGUCCAAUCUUUAUUGACCUUAAGUGCUGUGCUGUUUAUUGAGGAUUUUUAUUGGUCUGCUAGAGUGGCAACACUUGCAGACUGGAGUGUAAGUCUUUCAGGAAUAAACGUAAGAAAAUUAUUCUGAAAAUGUUGAAGUUGUCUCCCAUAUGUUAGUGCAAUUGUUAGCCAAUAAGUGCUGAUUCAAGCAGCAAUGGACAGGAUUGGAUGUUAGAUGAUUCUCCUAAUUCUUAUUUAUUUUACUUAUGUGGUCUUUCCUCUGUUACUGUUGAAUAAUGAAUGGUCCAAACAUUUAAGCAUGUAUCUGCAUAAACAUUUGUGCUUCCGAAUUGAUAACGUUACAAGCAUACCUCUUUGCUGCUAUUAAUCCUCUUAUGCUCAUUCCCACUGAAAAUGGAAAAGUGAAAAUACAUAUAGAUAACUUCAUCUUUUAUUGUCAAAAAUCAGUCUCCAUGAUUAACUUGUUUGUAAUCACUAACUAGUUUGUUUUCAAUCUGUUGUGAAGGUGAAUUGCAUAGAAAUGCUGCUGAUAUAGUCACAACAUGGCAAAAACUGUUGAAGUCUUUCCUGCAUGAUAUAGAUGAGGAGGUUUGUAUUGUUGAUCUGGUGGAAAAUUCCAUCUGAUUAAUAAAUAUCAAUUGUAAGCCAAAGGAAUAAUACAUUUUUUGGACUGCUACAUUUAAUUUCUUCUAUGUAUCACAUCAUCAGAUGGGUGGGGUGACUUGUCUGUUUUUAUUACAUGUCAAAACUGACAUCUCAUAGUGGACUUUUUUUGUCUAUAUUACAAAUUUGCGCUAACCUUUCUCUUGUUAUUGCCUAACAGAUUGAGGUUAUCUUGAAAUUUGAGGAAAUGUGCCUGGAAUCGGCCAAGGAGUUUGCUGCAUUAUUUCCACAGGUAUUUCUAAUGAUAUGCCUAGAUCUAGAAGAUGUCUUGAUGGGUUCAAGAUAAAAACUUGGUGGGGGCAAUUGUCCGUUGUUUGUGUAUAAAGUAGAAUGAGAUGUGAAGUUUUAGUGAAAAGAAAGAUCCUCAUUUGAUUGUUGUUUCACAGAUUUUGCAUCUUUUAUAUGAUAAAGAAAUUCUACAAGAAGAUGCUAUUCUAAGGUGGGCGGAUGAGAAGGAAGGAGCAGAUGAAUCGGAUAAAGUGUUUCUGAAGCGUUCAGAAAAAUUUAUACAGGUAAAAAAGGAACUUUAAUCUUUUCUAUUUCCCACUCGGUGAAAUGAAGAUUGUUAAUAUUUACUCAUCUUUCCCCUUUUAAAGUGGUUGAGAGAGGCUGAAGAAGAAGAGGAUGAGUGAGACUACUUGUGUUUUGGCACGUAUGAACAUCACUGCUGAGGAAAAUAUGGUCUGCCUUUGUUUGCAAUUUUUGCUUUUCAUGUGGCUAAUAAAGUCUUGACAUUAGAAAUGUUGUAUUGAAUUGAAACGUUUUGACAGUAGUCCAUAUAUUCAGAUUUACUUAUUGCUUUCUUUUUUCCUUUUAGAGUAAAUAGAAUUUCAGUAGACAACAAGGAUUAAUCUUAAUUUAUUUUUAAUUUUUUUAAGUAAUAUUGUCAAAAAUGAAUUUAUAUUAUCUCAAAAAUAUUUUUAUAAUAUAUUUACGUUUCAUAAACAUGUCAAAACAUUAUAUUGUGAUACCGUAAGUAUGUUAUAAAAUUUUUUAAAUUUCAUAUCAAUAAUGUGUAAAUUUUUAAAACAAUAUUUCAAGGAAAAGGUUUUUUUUUUUAUUAUUAUUAUAGAUUGUUGAAAAAUUAUAUUUUUUGCAUUAUGUUACUAAUCGGAUUCCGUUUUUUAAUUUUAAAAUUAAAUAUUUAGAAAUUUUAAAUAAAUAGAAGUACGCAAUACUCCUAUCUUGUUUUACAGUUGUCAUUUUUAACCUCUUAAGUUAAUUUAAUUGAAAAUUUUAAAAUACAAUUAUUAUGUUUGAAGUUUAACAUAUUUUCAAAAAUAUCAUAAUUAAUUUUAAACAUGUUAUAUAAACAGUUUUAAUAAACUUUAAAAUAAAUUUUUUAAACAUUUUUCCGGAAAUAAAUACAUAUACAUAUAUUUAUAUUUAUAAAAGUAUUAUCAAAUUUGAAUUGUAGUUUUUUUAUUCUUUAGGUCGAGGUAUAUAUAUAUAUACUAAACAUGUUUUAUAAUCUUAAAAUUAUAAACAGUUCGAAGUAAUUUUAUAUAAUGUUUAAAUAGGUUUUAAACAAAUUUAAUUUUUGCAAGAUCUUUAAAUUAGUAGUUCUUAAUUUUGAUAGUAGCCGUAUAAGUUUUUUUAAACAUAUUUUAAAUUAACUAUUUUAUCUUUUUGGUAUGAUUUAAAUAAACUAUUUUAUUUCUUAUUGAAAACAAAACUAAUUUUAAUUAUUUUAUUUAAGAACUUAAAUAUGUGUUUUUUUAUCAUAUUAUAAUUAGUUUAAAAAAUGUCUAAAACAAUAUUUAUAAAUUAUUUUAAAUAUGAUAUUUUUAUCAUAUAAAAUUUAACAUUUUAAAAACUUGUUUUGUAAUUCUAAUCUUAAGCGAAUUUUGAAAUCAAUUUUAAAUUUUAAUCUUAACUGUUAUAAAAUUUUAAAUAAAUUUGAAUAAAAUAUUUUAUUCCUAAUUUAAAUAAGAGUUGUAAUGUUUAAUGUAUUAAAUUAUGAGUUUUAAUUUUUUUAGUUAAAAACAUAUAUAAUUUAAAAUGUAUUAGUUUAAGGGAUAUUUAUCUCUCUACUUCACUAAAAUUGUCAAUAUGAUAUCUGUUCUUUCAAUUUAUUCCUUUUGCUACCUGUACCAUUUUUCUGUUUAUCACUUUGCUACUCCACAAUCUCUGACAAAAUUUGGCUCCUGCACCAACCAUGGUCCGGAAAAGAAAAUUCAAGUCAAAGCUAAGGACUUAAAAACAAUUAUACCAAUUACUAUUCUAAAGUGAAAAAAAACACAAAUAUUUGUUGGUCUCUUCUUUCUAAAACAAAGCCCUAGCCGCCUCCUUCCACUGUCGGCACCAUUACUCACCGGCGUCUUCUCCGAUCAAGAAGCGUUCAUGAGCCCAACACCGAAUUUCGAUCUUCUUCAAGUCUAGCUCUUCGAUUUCCCCUUGCAAAGACCAUAUAGUUCUCCAAAUUUCAUAAAAUUUUCUUCUAAUUUUGUUCUUUCUUGCAUAUUUGAAUGUUACCAUCAUAAAGUUCUUUCUGGCUUUAGUUUACAAGGUUUGAGAUAAGUUUUUUUGUUUUCAUGUUUAGGGUUGUUUCUUUACAUAUAAAAUAACAUUUUUAUUAUUUUGCAGUGUUUAUUUGGUAGAAAAUGAAUUAGCAAAGGAAAUUAUUCUCAAAACAAUCCAUUUUCUAAAAUUUUCAGAUUUUAUAAUUUAGUCCUUACAACUAAAAUUGUCAAAAUUUCCAAAAAUUCUAUUUUUCAAAAUUGUUAAUUCUCAAAUAAUGUAAAUUAAUCCUAAAAAUCAAGUUUUGAAAUCUUUACAAUUUAACCCCUAUAGUUUCAAGCUUUACUAUUCUAUGCUCAACUUUCUAAAUUUUCAUAUUUCAUAAUCAUAUAAUUUAGUUACUACAUCAAUGUUUCAGAUUUCACUACUCAAAUCCUUAGAAUUUGAAAUUUCACAAAUUUUAUAAUUUGGUCAUUACUUCAACUUUUAUCAAAUUAAAUCAUUUUUCAACUUAUCCAAAUAAUAUUCAAAAUAAAUAUUUACCACUUUCAACUUAAUUAGGCAUAAACAUAAAUCUAUAGAUAUAAAUUUAUAUUCCCUAAUGUACUAAAUUAACAAUUAAACUUAAUUAAAUAAAUUAAGAUUAAUUAAAACUAAAAUAUGAUUAAUUAAAAUAUAAAUAAGGUUUAUGAAAUAAAUUCAACUAAACAAUGAAAAGAUAAUAAAAUCUCGGCUUAAGGGCGCAAAAUGCCCUCAAACUUUAAAAAAAAUAAAUUAAGGCCCUGUUUUUUUUGCGAUUAUUUGGGUACUUGGACUUUCAAAAUGCAUAAAAAGGCCCUCAAACCUUUUCAAAAAAGAAGAAGCAAAUAAGCCCCUAUUUUUAUUUUGCACUCAAUUGGGUACUUGAACUUUCAAAAUGAUCAAAAAGACCGUCAAACUUAAAAAAAGAAGAAGAAGAAGCAAUUAAGCCCCUGUUUUUAUUAAAAAAUAAAAAAAUUAUAAAAAAUAAAAUCAAUAAAAUCUAUAAAUAUUAUUAAAUUUUAAUAAAAAUUUUCAAAUAUUAAAAAUUAUAAUUUUUUUUAUUUUUUUACGAUUUUUAUAAAAAAAAUUAAUUUUUAAUAAAAGUUAAAAUUUUUAAAAUUUUUAUUAAAAUUUAUUAUUUAUUAUAAUAUUUUUUCUAAUUUUUAAUAAGAGCAAGGACUUAAUUGGCUUUUUGAAAACUUUUGAGGGUCUUUUUGAUGCAUUUUGAAAGUUUAAGUGCUCAAUUAAGUGAAAAAAAAAGAAAAAAGGAGGGAUUGUAACAACCCGUUUUUUAAUAGUGUCAGAAACAGUGAUGUAACACCCUAUACCCGUAACCCACGCCGGAGCGGAAUACGAGGCAUUACCUAACUCGAUCUCAUGCACACAAACGUUCCCCAAGUCACCAAGACUGGGUCCAAUUUAAAACUUUUUCAAUUUCUAAUUUAAACUUCUUAGUACGGGCCUACGAGCCGCAAAUCGACCAUUGAAAACUAUUCGGGAUCAACUCGGGUCCUUAAACCAUCUAUAGAAAAUUUGACUUUGAAACAGGGCACACGCCCGUGUAGAAGGGCAACACGCCCGUAUGGCCAUUUCAACAUGGUCGUAUUGAUGGCCCGUGUGGCUCACAUGGCCUAUGCAAUAUAGGAACACGGUCGUGUCCUCCACCCAUGUGGAAUUAAUUCUAAUUGCACACCUAUAGGGGUUUUCACACGGCCUGGCACACGCCUGUGUCCCUGGCUCGUGUCCUUCACACGACCAUGACAUGCCCGUGUCUUAGCCCAUGUGCAAAAACAUGGAUAUUCUGUUUCUGACGUCAACAUCCCCAAAAUGUCACAUGGCCAAGGCAUACGCUCGUGUCCUAGGCCGUGUCCCUCACACGGCUGAGAUACACGGCCGUGUGUUUACUAUCAUGCAUACUAACUUGAAAUUUUUUACGUGCAGGGGACACAUUGCCGGACCACAUGCCUAUAGGGCAGACUGUGCGUCACAUACGGCCUAGACAUACACCCGUGUGUCUACCCGUGUGGACAAUAUAAGGCUAUUUACCAAGCCUAUUUGCCACCCUUACUUACUCAACCUACAUAAUAGCAACCACAAUCAAGAUAAGACUAUCUCAUGCAGCCAAAUCAGCUACAAUAGACAACAUUCCAUUUGUGCAUUUUAUUCAUCUAUGAAAAUAACAUCUUUGCAUAUAAAUCAAAAUUAAUAUUUUCCAUCAUUCAAGGCUUAAUACAAAAUAAAGGUUUCCAAUCCAAGCCAACACACUUGGCUAGUUCUCAAUGACACAAAAAUAGUAAAGUCUAAGCCCUAUACAUGCCAUAUUCAAAAAUAUAAAUCAAACUAUAUCGAAUGCUUCGAUUGAUAGUGUGAUUGAUAUCUCUGACUUCCUUUGGUCCUUGAGCUAGAUAGGCGACACUAUAAGAAAAUAAAAAAGGAUAGGGAGUAAGCAUAAAGCUUAAUAAGUUGCACAUAAAUGAUUACACAACAUAACUUUACCAUUCAUCAACAAACUCAUAACAUACAAUUGGGUAUAAGCAAAACUUGCUCAUCAAUAUUCGCUACACAUCAUAUAUCAUAAAAUGGGCUCAUAUUCUAUAUAUACCAAACAGGUACCUAUACCAUUCACAACACAGUUAUACUUUCCUCGUUAACUUGAAAUCAUAAUUUUCACCGUUGAACCAUUUGGAACACUAUCAGAUAUUCAUUAAGCCUCAAACAUGGGGCAAGGUGCCGAUGCCAUGUCCCAGACAUGGUCUUACAUAAGUUCUAGCAUAUCUGUGCCGAUGCCAUGUCCCAGACAUGGUCUUACACUGACACACCUUGUAACCGAUGCAUGUCUCAGACAUGUUUUACAUUGGCUUACGUCUCGAGGCCGAUGCAUGUCUCAGACAUGUUUUACAUUGGCUUACGUCUCGAGGCCGAUGCAUGUCCCAAACAUGUCUUACACUAGCACUCGUCUCAAUGCCGAUGCCAUGUCCCAAACAUGGUUUUACACUGGCUCUCAUAAUGCGGCCGAUGCAUGUCCCAGACAUGUCUUACACUAGCUCACAAUAACCCAUAUGUUAUGGCAUGAAUAUCCAAUUUAUUUCCUAGGUUCCAACGGGAACUCUACUAUCUCUAUUACCAUAAUAUUUUCUCAAUUCCACAAUCAAGCAAUUCAUGCUAUAUUAAAUUCAAGUACAAUUCAACACAUACAUAAAUAUUGUAGUUGUAUUAUUUACAUACAAUUUACCUCGGAUUACAAAAUGUGGCGACUAGUCAAUUUAAUCGAUUUGCUUGGCUUUCUCCCGAUCUAGGUUCGGAUUCAGUAUUACUUGAUCUAUAAUAGUAAAAUGUACUUAUUUAGUCACUAAUUAAAAUUAAGCAAUCAAAAAUCCAUAUCUUUGGUAAAAUAACCAUUUUGCCCCUAGACCCGAAAAUAUAUUUUUAUCGAAUUUCUUCAUAUCUUAAGCCUAGCCGAACCCUUUUUACUCUUAUAGCAACUUCAAAUUCCCACUAUUUCACAUACUUAACAUCUAUUUUACAACUUAUGCAAUAUAGUCCUUUUAGGUGUUUUCAUGCUAACAUCUUUCACAAAAGUUGUUCAUAACACACCCAAGACUUAUUUUCUUCCAUAAAAACUCAGCAAACAUUACAAGCCCUUUCAUGGCAAAACCCUACACUCUUGAUCAUUUUUCAAAAUAGUACCCUCAUUUAAAAGCUCAUGCUUCAAGGGUCUCAAAAGUACAAAAAUAUUCAAGAAAAGCCAUAAAAAUUACUUACUUGUGAAAACUUAAAGUUGUUGAAACUUCAAGCUCUUAAAACCCCGUUUCUUUGCUGAAAAUUUUGAUCAAAAGAAAGGAUGGAGAAAAAAAUGAUAGCUAGGCUUUUUGGCAUUAUUAUAUCAUAUAUUAUGUCAUCAAAUUACCUAAUGUUGACUUUUCAACAUUUUUAUCUCCUAUGGUCGGCCAAGCUAUCACAAUAGGGUCCAAUUGCCCUUUAAAGACCCCCAAUUUUUAUUCUUUAGCUAUUUGACACUUUUAGCUAUCAAUUUAGGACUUUUGCAUUUUAUGCGAUUUAGUCCUUUUUCCCAAUUGAGCUCACAAAUGUCAAAAUUAACUCACCAAAUUUUUCAUACACUAAGAUAAACAUGCAAUGACUCCAAAAUAGUAAUAAAAUAAUUUAUUUGACUCCAAAUUUGUGGUCCCGAGACCACUGUUCUGACUAGGCCCUAAAUCAGGCUGUUACAAGUAGUUUCUGUAACACCCCUCGCCCAUAUCCGACGCCGGAACAUGGUUCGAGGUGUUACCUGACUUAACUCAAUCAAUUAUGCAAAACCGGGCCGUAAAAUUUUGAUGAUUUGGUUAAAACUUUUACUUUCAUAAGCAAUUUGUUCCUUAAAUGGGCUUACGAGGCCCAAAACAUACAUUCGAGAUGAUUUAAACUUAACUGGGAACUUAAGAAAAACUUGGUAAAAUUCAAGUUUUAGGGUUCCCCACGCCCAUGUGACUCGGGACAUGCCUACGUCCUCAGCCCGUGUGCGACACUGACUUUAGGGCACGGCUAUGACACACGUCCGUGUGGCCUAUCCAUGGGCAAUAUUGACUUAUAGACACGGCUAUGGCACACGCCCGUGUGGCCUAACCGUGGACAAUACUGAUUUAAAAAUUUAAGUGCAGGGGGACACACGGCCAUAACACACACCCAUGGGGGUGAGCCGUGUGUCACACACGGCCUAAACAUACGCCUGUGUGUCUUGCCCGUGUGGAAAAACUAGGAUAUCUUCCAAGUCAUUUUGUUACCCAUUUUGCACAACCUAUACAAGAUCAUUUCAAUGUGCUAAUUUCAUCCCAAAUGACAUCAAUUAAUCCAUAGAAGGCACGUCAUAUACAUUUACCAAAAUAAAUAAUAGCCAUUAUCUAGGCUUAAUACAAAAUGAAGGGCUUUUUAUCUUAAGCCAAUAUACAUAAAUAAUUUCUCAAUAAUACAACUCCCUAGUCUAGCCCUAUACAUGCCAUAAUCAAAAAUAUAAAUCCAACUAUACCGAGUAUUACGGCUAAUAGUGUGAUCGAUAUCUCUGACUACAAGGGAUCCUUGAGCAAAAUGACCGUACCGAAAGAAAAAGGAAGGGAAAGAGAGUAAGCAUAAAGCUUAGUAAGUUGCAUAUAAAUAUAUAUACAACGACAACUUCACCAUUUAUCAAUUAUGCUCAUAGCUCAAAGGUAAGUAUAAACUGGACUUACUCAUUACCAUCAACUCAAAUCAUAUUUUCUAAUCGAGCUCAUUACUCAUGCAUACCAAAUAGGUACCUGUAACACUUACAACAUUAUCAUACUUUCCUUUUUAAAUCUCUUUCUUAACUCUUAAAGUUGAACCUUUUGGAAUACUACUGGAUAUUCUAUAAGCCUCAAAUAUGGGUUAAGUUUCCGCUGUCAUGUCCCAGACAUGGUCUUACCUGGCUAUCUCCAUCGAGGCCGAUGCCAUGUCCCAGACAUGGUCUUACACUAGCUCUCGUGUAUAAGUGCUGAUGCAUGUCCCAGACAUGUCUUAUGCUAGCACGAAACUUAGUCGAUGCAUGUCCGAGACACGUCUUACACUGGCUAACAUCAUCGAGGCUGAUGCAUGUCCCAGACAUGUCUUACACUGGCACUCACCUCUACACCAAUGCCAUGUCCCAGACGUGGUCUUACACGGGCUAUCAUGAUGCGGCUGAUGCAUAUCCUAGACACGUAUUACACUAGCCCUCGUCUCAAUGCCGAUUCCAUGUCCCAGACAUGGUAUUAUACUGGCUCUCACAUAACCCAAUGUCAUGGCAUGAAUAUCCGGUUUGUUUCCUGGGGUUCUUACUGGAUCUUUCAACUUUCUCAAUCAUAAAUACAUAUACUUAGUUCCAAUUCUAAAAAUUUAUGCUAUAUCAAAUCAAUAACAAUCGAAUACAUGCAUUAAUAAUAUAUUUGUAUUAUUUACAUACAACUUACCUCGGUUUAAAAAAAGUCCAUGACUAGUUUGCUUAAUCGGAUUGCUUGGCUUUGCCCCAGUUUAGGCUCGGUUUUAGAAAAUCUUGAUCUAUAAUAACAAAAUGCACUUAUUUAGUCAUUAAACACAAUUAGGCUAUCUAAAAUUUACAUCUUUUGUAAAAUGACCAUUUUGCCCCUAGACUUUAGCAAAAUGACCAUUUUACCCCCAUGCUCAAAAUUUGAUUUUUAUCGAUUUCUUCGUAUUUCAAGCAUAGAUAAACUCUUUUUACUACUAGAGAAACCCCAAAUUCUCACUAUUUCACACACUUGUUACUUAAUUUGCAACUUAUGCACAAUAGUCCCUUUAGGUGUUUUCAUGCUAACACCCUUCAUAAAAGCUGUUUAUAACACAACUAGGAAUCAUAUUCCUCCAUAAAAACUCAGCAUAUAUAACAAAUACGUCCAUGGAAAAAUCAUAAACUCUUGACCAUUUUGUAAGAUAUCACCCUCAUUUGAAAGCUCAUGCUUCAAGGGUCUUAAAAGUGUAAAAAUCUUGAAGAAAACUAAUUAAAAUCACUUACUUAUGAGUGCUUUAAGUUGCUGCAGAUUUUUGAGCUUUCAAACCUCAAUAUUUGAUGAUAAUUUCGGUGAAGAAAGAAGAUGGAGAAGAAGGAAAUGAUAGCUAGGCUUUUAGGCAUUAUUUUAUCACCAAAUCAUGACAUCAUCUACUUAAUACUUUGACUAUUUGUUUAAAAUCCAUCACAUGGCUGACCAACACCAUUAAAAAAGGUGUAAUUUCCCUUUAAAAGAACUAAAUUUUGAUUUUCUAGCUAUUUAACACAUUUGGGUACUAAAAUGUAACUUUUGCCCUUUUUGCAAUUUAGUCCUUUUUUGCAAUCGGGCUUGAAAAUAUUAAAAUUAACUUACCAAAUUUUUCAUGCACUAAUAUAAUCGUACUAUAACCUCAUAAAAAUAAUAAAAAUAAUUUUUCUAUCUUCGGAUUUAUGGUCCCGAGACCACUGUUCCGACUAGGCCCUAAGUCGGGUUGUUACAGUUUCGGAAUCACAAAUCCGAUGAGUAAGAUCGUAUAGUUAAUAUUUAAAUUAUAUGAGUUAAUUGUAAUUUUAUAAUGAAUUUUGAUUUGAGGAAUUUUAACCAGUUGAAUUAAAAAUUAGUAUAAGUGGUUCAGUUCAAAAGUAAAGUGAUUAUUGAAAACGAGGUAUUAGGACCUCGUUUCCAUAAUUUAAAGUUGUAACUAUUUAUUUAUUAAAUAUUUAUAAAGUCAUAUUAUAGGUGAAUUAAAAUUUGGUUCGGUAAUUUUGAUGAUUGGUAGCUUAAUUAAGGUAAAAAGAUUAAAUUGUAAAAGAGGUAAAAGUUAAUUGCUAUAUAUUUAAAAUAGUAAAGGGACCAAAAUGGUAAUUAAACCAUGGUAAAAAAUCCAAGCGGUGGUGACUUGAUUAAAUCCACUUAACUUUUCAGCUAUUUGCUCAUUUAGUCCUAAUUAGCUUAGGAUUAAAUUGAAAUUAAGCUUGUUUAGUUAAAAUUUAAAAUAAUUGAAGGAUCAAUUGUGUAAUUAAAUCUCCUUGAAUGGUACAUAUACCAUAGGUUAUGAUUGUGGACGGUAAUGGGCUUGAAAUUGUUAAAUUUGAAUGAAAAUUAAACAGUAAAAAGGUAAAUGAAUAACUAAACUUUAUAAACAAAAUUAAAAUAAAAUAACCAUCUUCUUCUUUAAGCCAAAAUAAAAUCGAAAUAGCCAUUAGAGAAGAGAAAAGGAUUCAGCCAACCUAGGGCUUCUAUUUGGUUAGCUAAUCCGGUGACUAAUUUGUAAACUGUUAAAUGUUGUGGAUUAUGUCAUUGAUGAGUUUUGUAUAUUCUUGGAAUUUUAUGAUGGAUUAUUAAGUUUAAUUUUUAAAUAAGACAAUUCUGUAAAGUAGUUUUUGAUUAUUUUAACGUUUAAGGACUAAAAUGUUUAAAUGACAAAGUUACUUGUACUUGAUGUGAAAUAAUUGCAAAAAAUGGGUUGUAGAAAGGCACUUGAAUAUUCGGCUAAGCUGAAAUUUGAAUAAAAAUGGUUAAAUUGCAUGUUUUGAGUUAGGGGCUAGAUUGCAUAAAAGUAAAAUAUUGGGAGGAAUUUUGUAAAAAUAUAAAAAAGGAUUUAAUUGCAUAAAAUGAGUUAAUUUUACUGUUGGAAUUAGUUGAUAAAAUUAUAUUAUUAUUCUAGAUCAAGUAUGGUUGAAAAUCGAGGCAUAAAGAAGUUACAUAAUAGUCUCUGUACCUUAUCGUGCUGUAGUUUAGUCAGGUAAGUUUGUAAUAUUUCUUUUUUGUUACAAUGAUUCCAUAUAUAUUACAUGUUUAUUAUAAUUAGAUCUAACAUUAAACUUAACUAUUGAAUGAUUUGAUAAUAAAUAAUAAAUGAAUAUGGUGAACACGUGAUGUUUCUGAAUAUCAGGCUUCGAGCCAGUGUUAUCUAACAGGCUUUGUGCCAGUGUGUUUAUGGGCUUUUGCCUAGUAGGCUUUGCGUCGGUGUUGUCCAUCAAGCCUUGAGCCAGUGAUACAAAUCGUAGUGAUGGCUGAGAUCUUGCAUGUGUUGUGGAUUCUAUACAAUUUGUGUAAGCAACAUCGUGAGCUGGUGAUUAUUUAGCAGGUACUAUGUAUCAUUGAUACAGACUGUAACGAUUGUUUGAGAUCCUGCAUCUGUUGUGGAUUCUCUGCAGCUUGUGUGAGUAGCAUUGUGAGCCGGUCAAAAAUUUGAAAUUAACUCGAAUGAGUGAUACCCUCUGAUUACUUAAGAUUAGAUCUUAUUUAUAUGACGACUGAGAAAGUGAUGUGAAUUAAUGCACUGUGUAAUACUCACAUGUUGUGAGUUGUGUUUGACAGGAACUUCAUUAUUUAAUCUUAUAAUUUGAUCUAUUAUGUUAAUUUGGUAAGAUUUAUCGUUUAAUUUAGCGAAUUUACUAAGCUUCAAGUAAGCUUACUCGUGUCUUGUCCUUUGUUUUAUAGAUUACAUUUUGUGAUCGAAAGUUCGGAUCAACUCGUAGAAUCACACUAUCCCAAUGACUCUUUUGGUAGAUUUUGUAAACAUUUGACUUAUAUGGCAUGUAAUAGGGCAAAUUGUUAUUAUGCUAUAUUUCAUGGCUAUGUGUGAUGUUUGGUACUUGAUGAUAAAAUGUUAGUCUUUGUAGUAUGAUUGUUAAACUUUAGGUAAAUUUGAGUAGGAGGCUAUGAAACGGUAAGUGUCAUAUUAAGUUAGCAUGGUGUGUUUGAAAUGGGUUAGUUUGGUGUAUGUUAUGGCUUAUAGAUUAUUGUUUUGAUAUCGGAUAACACGAGCAUUAUAAUGUGUUUUAGUAUAUGAUACUUGGUAUGGUUUUAGGUGAUUGAAAAUUGCAUGUUUUGGUUGUUUAAAGGUGUGUUUAUAGACUUGUGAACAUGUAUUAUGAAUUGGUUUAGGUACCUAUGAAAUUGGGUGAGGAGAUAACAUGAUCUUGGUCAUUUUUUGGAUACACACGGCCUGAGACUCGGGCUAUCAUACGACCACGUGUCACACGCAGGCAGCGUACACAGGCGUGUGCCUUGAGUGUGUUAGGUACAAGAUUCACACAAGCUAGCACAUGGGCUGAGACAUGGGCGUGUGAGCCAUGUCAGUAAGUUACACGAGUGAGCAUACGGUUGGAUACAUGGAUGUGUGGGGUAGCCACACGGGCGUGUGGUAUAGCAGCACAACCAUGUUUGGAGCCACACAAUCUGGGUUCUAUCACAUGGCUUGAACACACCAAACAUCUCAACUCUUUCACCGUUACGAAAUUUUUAUCCCUUCAAAUUAUAUGCUCUAUGCAAAUUGCUACUCAAACGAAUGGCAAGUAAGAUAUACAUAUGGUAGCCCAUGAUUUGUCCAUGUGUCAAUUUUUAUUAGGAAUUAACACUGUUAGGUCAAAGUACUAAAGUGAUAAUCGAAAAAAAUACGAGUACCAAAGCGAAGAAAUUGAAAGUACAAGUAUCAUGUUGACAAUUUUAUUAAAGUACAGGAGUAAAUCAUACUAUUAUCCCAUAAUUUAAUAUAUAAAUUGUUGAUGUGUCAAGCAAAACACUGCUCACUUUUCAUCAUUUUAAAUAUACAACCAAGGUUAUUUCUAAAGAACUUGUAACAUAUAAUACUAGUUUUUAUCCUAUGAGAUGUUGAUAGUUUAUUCUAUAAAAGUAUUAUUAUUUAAACAAUGAUAUAUUAAUUAAAAUUAUUUGUGAAACAAUAUUAGAAUUACUUAUUAAUAAAAGUAUAUUAAAUUACUUUCUAUUUUUAUAGAAUUAUGUAAACAAUAUGUUCAAAAAGUAAUAAUAAAGAGUAAAUAUUAUUUUCUGUCUUGUACUUUUAUUUAAAAUGUUUAUUAGAAAUUUUAGAAUAUAAAUCCUAAUAUUGAUAGAAUUGUGAAAUUAUUAUUUUUUAAAAUAUUAACAAAUUUUUUUAAAUGUUAAUAUAUAUAUAUAAACACAAACUUUAAUAAACUUUUUUUUUAAAAAAAUCUAACUAAAUUAUAAGAAUAUAAAAAAGAAAAACUAUAAAAAAAUAUUCAAAAUCCGAGUGGAUUUAAAAUAAUUUUUUAGUAUAACUUGAAAUUGAAAUUAAUUAAUUAGUUAAUUAAGUGGGUUUAAUAUUGUAAAAGUUUUUUUAAUAAGGUGAGUAUUUUUUUAUUUAAUAAGCUGUUUUAAAACAUUAACAUGCGUUUUUUUAAAUAUUUAAUAUACCCCUAUAGGACAUUUGUCAACCUUUACUCCAUCUUGUGGAGUUUAAAAACUCCAUUGUCAGUGUAACAAAUAAUUUUUGUUAUAAAAUAAAAAGACAGAAAGUAAAGAACAAAGAGAAUGAGAGAACAAAUAGAGCGUAUUUUAUUGAUCAAUCUGGAUAUCUACAAAUCUUCUCCAAAGUCUAUUAUAAAUGAAGUAGAGAUCUACUUUUAAUGACAAUUAGAAUUUAAAUUACAUCAAAACUUAUAUUAAUCUUGAUGGACAUUCACUUAAUAAGAUAUUCAUAAUACUCAUUUUGGAUGUCCAUUUGUAGAUAAUGUGUCUCGUUAAAACCUUACUAAGAUAAAAACCUCGUGAGAAAAAAAUUCCUAGUUAAGGGAAAAAAAGUACACAUAUCCAUAAUAUGCAUAAUAUGUUGCCUCAUUAAAAACCUUACCAGGAAAAUCCAAUGGAAUAAAACCCCAGUUAAAGGAAAAUGAGUACAAUGCAUAUUUACUCCCCCUCAUGAAAACAUCACAUAAUAUCUCACAUUCUACGCAUUCAAUCUUGAAUACUAGCUUUUUAAAUGAGCAUUUAUAUUACCAUUCUUUUGAAAGUCAUGAGUGAAGGAAAAUUUUGGAGAAUUAUAUUUUGAUCUCUUCAGGAGUUUCAAUAAUAAUCAUAAUAAACUUUAAUCAUGAUUCUUCUAUAAAAACACAAAUAAAUAUUUUGGAUCAUUUUAUGAUCCCUUUCAACUACUAUUCACUAAGUCAAAUUUACCACAUAUGUUUAAAUUAUUUCAAUUCAUAUAAAUGAACAAUUUCCCAAGAAUUUCAAUAUGCUUCUAGCAUUCUAAAUCCUUCAAGAAUUUUAAUAUAAACUUUACCAUAUAGUGAUUCAUAAAAGGUUGUAACAACAAUCAUUAGGCGUAAGUUAAAACUUUUAUGAACUAUCAAUUCAAUAAUAUAUCUAAACAUUAUUGUAUCCACCAAAAAAUAAUAUUAUAUCUUUUAAUAAUCAAUGUUAGGAGUUAGCGAAAAACUUCAUUUAUUUUGCUUUUGCAAAACUAUUUCAUUUGCACCCUCAUUGGCUUUAUACCUUUAGAUAUUUGUACUAUUGGUCCAAAAACUCCACGGAUUUAAUUUUACUUAAGUUGUAUUUCUAUUUUGACCAAUUUAUUUCAUAUCUAUAUUUCUCAAUAGAUUUAUUCAAGAUCCUCCUUAUAUUUCAUUAUUUCAACAAUAAUAUUCCAUGCAAAACCAUUGUCGAUUAAUUUUAUUAUCGGUUCCACAUUUUCUCAAUUGACAUAACUUAUCGAGAUAUUUUAUUUUCACUAUUUUAAUCUUCAAUUUCAGAUAUCUGAAUUUCUUCUGGAGUUUUAGUUAUUAGUUAUGUCUUGGGUCUCUUCUAGAGUACCCACCUCCACUAUAUGACCACCUAGAAGAAUUUUCAUCUUUGAAACCGAUCAAUCUAUUAUUUAUUCUAACUGAUUGUAGGACUUUGAUUCAAAAUAUUAGAUGGUAUAUACAUCUAAUAGGUAACUUGUAAUAAUGUGAGUUAUCCUUUUUUGAACUUCUGGUUCAAAUUACUCUCUAUAAGAAUCUAAAUAAUGAUAACUCAUUACAAGUAGUGAUUUCAUUCAACUAUUAUUUCUCUCCCCUAAUAUCGGGAAAACUAUCAAAUCAAAAUAGUAAUCACACAUCAUGUCAUAAUUGAAUCUCCAAAACAUUCAAAACAUCUAAUAAUAUAAGGAGACUUGUAAUUAAUAUAUAUUUCCAACUUUCUUUGAGGAUUCACUCAUCUUUGUGCAUUGUGGUGGAGCAAUUUCAACAUAUACUCACAUAAAAAAAAUAAAGAUGAGAAAUAUUUAGCUCUUGACUAAAAACCAAUUGUAAUGGAGAGUAUUUAUAACUUAUUGGCUUGAUGCGUACAACACGUAAAUCAACAUAAUCUCAUGUUAAAAUAGGAAAUUUAGUUUUCAUUAGUAAUGGUUUAGAUAUUAAUCAGAUGUGUUCAAUUAAUAAUUUCUCUAAACUAUUAUGUGCAUAAAUAAUAAGCUUUUACGAAAGUUUUUCAAACUCAAUCAAUAAAAGUUUGAGAUAUAAACUCAUCAACUUUAGCAAUAUGAAUUGUCUUAAUUACAUAAUCUGAAAUUAAUUAUUUAAAUAAGCAAUCUUGCAAACGACAGGUUGUAAGUUGAUAACACAUAUGUAAUUAUUUUGUAAAUACAUCUAUCAAAAUCAUAUAAUAUCAAAAUUAUCCAUAUGGUGGAUGAAUGAGCUCAUAUUCAUUUUAGAAAUACAAGAUAUUAAAUCUCAACUUCGGUUAGUGAGUUUUUAAUAAUCAAUUUUCAUUGAGAACAAGAAGAAUCUUCUGGUUCUUUAAUGAAUGUCCGUAUGAAUUAUCAAUUAAUUUUCGCAUCAUAUAUGAUUCAAGAUGGUCUAUGUAAUACCCCGAAAAUUUUUACAGUAAAAUAUUAUCCGUGAUAUAGUAAAAUAAGGAAAUAAAGUGACAAAAAGGGAAUUUUUGAGUUAUGUCAAUAUUGGGAAUUAUAUUAUGAUAUAUUAAUUCAAGAAAGGACUAAAUUGCAAAGAUGAGAAAAGUCUUGUUGCACAAGAGUAAAUACUCAAAAUUUAAGGGGUUGAAGUGUAAAUAUAAAAAAGUUGAAGGACUAAUGGUGCAAAUAUUUUAAGGGUGGAAUGAUCUAGAAACCAAGAAAAAUUGAUGAAUUAGGACCAAAUUGAAUAGGUGAAAACUUAUGAGGGACUAAAUCGCAAUUUUACCAAAUUAAGUGAUGACUCAAGGAUGGAAUUCUAAAAGAUCAUGAAGGGAAAAAUGGUCAAUUAGUAAGAGAGAGAAUUCUAAAAUGUAAUGAUUAUGUUGAUGAUAUUUUAAAUUAAUUAAUUAGAUAAAUAUUAUUUUAUUAAUAUUUUUAUGAGAUGUUUAUUAUUAUUAUAUUAUUAUUUAUUUAGCAUAAAAGGAAGGAAAGAUGAAGAAUUAACAUCACAUUUCCUUUCCCAUGCAACCAACGUUAGAAGAGAAGGAAAAGAAAGGAAUUUUGUUUUCUUUACAAUUUGGUCAUUCUACCAAAAAUUCACCAUUUUCACCUAGAAAUCAAAAGAAUUUCCAUAGCUACUAAGAGAGAAAAAUGUUAAGGAGACCAUGGGGAGUUAGAAUAUCAAGCUGGAUUCAAGAAAUAGAAGCUGGAGGAGAGAGAAAAUCAAGUUAAAGAUUAGUAUCAAUAGAACAAGGUAAGUAUAUCAAGAUUUCAAUAUGUUUUUAAGUUUGUUAUUAUUGACAAAGCAUGGAAAUAAUGUUAUAGUAGAGUUUUCUUACAUAAGGUCCUAUGUUCUUGAUAUGUUAGUGAAGAGAAAAUAAGAGAAAGUGAUGAGAAAUGGUGUAGAAAAAGAAAAUAAGAGUGUUAUAACAUGUCAAUUAAUAUCUUGUACUAAAACAGUUUUAGACAGCAGUUGUAGUCUAACAUUGAAAAAUCAUCAAAAAAUUGUAGAAAUAUAAUUAUAGGAUGAAUAAAAUAUUAAAUUAAAUCUUAUUAAGUCUAGUUUCUUAUAGAAGAAAUGAUGUAAGCAAUGGAACUGUAAAUCAUGAGAUAUGAUGAAUUUUGUGAGACAAGGUCAGAAUGAUUUUGGGUUCCCCUAUUUUGACUUUAUAAAAUAAUAAAAAAUUGGAUAGAAAUAAUUAUGGGAUUAAAUUUAUAUUUUUAGAAUCCUGAAUGAGUCUAUUUUCAAUAGAAAAAAACGGGAACAUCAUUUGAAUUCUGUACGAGGAGAUAAUUAAUUUUUAGUGAAGAAGGGCCAGAACUGUUAGACAGCAGAACAAGGGUAACUUUAAAGAAUAAAAUGUACUUAUUGGCUAAACCAAAAAUUCUGAAAAUUUUUUGGUAAGAAUAUAUAGAAGUCUAGUUUCAGUAAAAAUUAUCGGAUCUUAAUUUUGAGUUAUAUAACUCCAGAUAUAAAUAAUUUAGUGACUAUGAUGCAGAUAAACAGCUUGAAUAUUCAUAAAAGUAAAUAAUAAAAAUUAUGGAUAAUGUUACUUACAAGUGUGUUAUAUCUACAGUAAGGAUGUGGAAUGGAGAGGAGGAGGAGGAAAAAUAUGUAUGAAUAUUCAUCUAGCAUGGCUAAUUUGUAUAUUUUAGGCUCAGAGACAAAAUUGAAUAAAAGUAAAACUUUAUGGGCAAUUUUGUAAAAAUAUCAAAAAUGACCAAAUUGCAUGAAAUGGAUUAUUUUAUUAUUUAAAUUACAAAAUUGAAUGAAAUUAUUAAUUUAGUUCAAGAUUGGGGGAAAACAUGUUUUAGGGAUUAAAUUGAAAAGUGUUGAAAUUAUAGAAAAUUCUGAUAUUUUAUAGAAUUCAUGAACUGUUAUCAAUACAUAUGAGAAUAAUAGCUAGAAAUAAGGAUUAAAUUGCCAGAAUUUUAUUUUCCCUGACCCUAAGGAUGAAAUCGUCAUUAAUUAAAAGUUUAGGGGCAAAAUGGUAAUUUUUCCUAGAGCAUUAAUUAAAUGCAUUAGAAUAUGAAAUAAAUGAAAAUGAUGAUCAAAUUUAUUUAUAAAGAUCCAGACGACUCAAAUAUGAGACUUGAUUGUAGAAAAGAAAAGAUAUCGGAUUAAUGAAAUUAUAAACACAAACAAGCAAUGAGGUAAGUUCGUGUAACUUGAAUUAUAUUCUUAAAUGCUUGAAAUGUAUGUUAUUGAUGUGAAAAUAAUUUGAAUGUUCAUUGUAUGAAAAUUGAUGGAACAUUGAUAUAUUUGAUAAAAAGGGGAAGAAAUCCCGGUUGAAUAAAAGGAAAUUUCGAUGGAUCUCUGAAAAGGAAUUGACAGUAAAAAGGAUCUAGCCCAGACGGGUGACCCUAUCCUGAUAUAGCCCUCCCGAAGAAUACGUGUAAAUGGAUUUAGCCCGGACGGGUAAUCCAAAUUAGGGUCUAAAUUUAGCCUGGACUGGUAAUUCAGAUCCAAGCUCAUUAGACUAUUUUGUCGUUGCAGGGGAUUUAGCCUGGACUGGUAAUCCCGACAAUACUCUAUGAGUUUAUAUUACAGGGGAUUUAGCCUGGACUGGUAAUCCCACUGUAAGGAUGAGGUUCGCAGGAGUGUGCUCUCUGAUAUGAAAUGCGUAAGACUAUGGUUGAAAGAUACCAUGGCAACCUGAUAUGAAAUGUGUAAGACCAUGGUUGAAAGAUACCAUGGCAACAUGACGGGAAAUGAAUAAGACCAUGGUUGAAAGAUACCAUGGCAGCGUGACAUGAAAUGUGUAAGACCAUGGUUGAAAAAUACCAUGGCAACAUGACAGAAAAUGAGUAAGACCAUAGUUGAAAGACACUAUGGCAUCAUGUCAAAGAUAAAUAAGACCGUGGAUGGGAGAUGCGAUGACAUCUAUUGAACAAUUGAUAUUCAGGUAAUAUGUAUCAGAUGACGAAUGGUUAUAUGAAAUAGUUGUGUGAAAUGUUUACAAGAACUGGUCAUAUGGAAAUAUAUGUACAAAAUAGUUGUAUGAAAUAAUUAUGAAGAUAGAUAAAAAAAAUAAGAAUAAGAACAUGGAAUAUAAUUUAUGUUAAGUUUGAUAUAAACUUUACCUGAAUAAAUAUAUAUAAAAUAUAUGGAAAUGAUGGUGCAUGAAAUAUUGAUAUAAUGAAAUGAUUGAUAUAUACUUAUGAAGAAACGGUAAGAGAAUGAUAUGUUUCAUGACAUGUACAUAUAUGAUUAUCUUUGAUAUGUUAAUACAAGGAAAUUAUGUAAGUAAAGACAAUUAUUAAACUCAAGUGUAACAUGUCGAGAAAAUAAGUAUAUAAAUGUUGAAUUUAUAUGAAAUAUAUGCAAGUAUACUAACAAUGAUGUUGUUUGACGCUUAGACAAGUGUCAAGCUAUUAAUUGAAUGGUAACAUGUUUAAUUAUAAGAAGUAUUGAAAUGGUAAGUACUUAGAUGGAAAUAAAAUUUAAGAUUUUGUGAAAUUUUUUUUAUGAUCCCGAUUUAAUUCUGGUUGGUUUUUAAUAUAUGUUUGGGGCUUCGAGGGCCUAAUAGAGAGACGUUAUGAUUAUUUUCAAAAUAUGAAUAAUAAAUGACUCAGAAUUAUCUGAAAGUAUUCAGUAAACUCCAGUAAUGCCUCGUACCUUUUCCGGCAAUGGAUACGGGUAGGGGGUGUUACAGUCUAACUGGUCACGGCAAGUAGUUAAUGCAUUUUAUCAGUAAACAUCUGAUUUACUUUAACAUGCAUUUCAAUUGUACUAAUAAUGUCAAUAUAAAUUGUGACAAAUUGAUAAUUUUACUGCCAUUCAUUUUACUUUGUAUCCACAUAUAAGUACUAUUGUAACAUUUACUACUGAAAAUGUUUAAAUUAAUGUGAAGUUUAUAAUGCCACUAAGUCAACAAAAUAAAUAUAAUUUCCAAACAAUUAUAUGCAGUAUUCGCUUCAAGGAAUAUGCCAAAAUCUUCAAAUAUCCAUUAUAAUGUAUAUUUUUAAAACUAAUGUAUUAACCAUAUCUUUUAUUUCUUUAUGUUUGCAUUCACUUCGGGGAAUACAACAAAUCUAGUAAGACAAACUUCUAAAUGCCUCCAUUGAUUCUUUAUUUCAUAAUCACCAUCCGAACAUGCAUGGAUUUCAAAUAAGAAUCUAUCUAUUCAUGUGGUCAUGAUUAGUCUCCAAUUAUAAUAAACAGGAUAUAAUAAAUAAAUCAUAGUAAAAUAUAUUUAAAGAUCUUUAACAUCAUUGUCAUCACCCAUAUAAGGAUUAUAUAAAUUUCUUUGGAUAAUGAUUACCUAUAGUGCGCAAGCCUCAAUUCAACAAAUUUGGAGUGACCAUAUUAUAAAAUAAAAGAGAACCGUGCUGAUAACGUGUUAUAAAACAAAAAAAGAGAGAAAGUAAAGAACAAAAAGAAUGAGAGAACAAAGAGAAAGCGUAUUUUAUUGAUUUUACAAAGCUUAUCCAAAGUCUCUAUUUAUAGUCAUAAGAAGUAUAAAUGAAGUAGAGAUUUACUUCAAAUAACUAUUAGAAUUUAAAUUACAUCAGAACUUAUCUUGAUCUUGAUGGACAUUCAUUUAGUAAAAUAUUCAUAACAUUUUUCUUUUUAAUAUGGAUUAGUAUUUGGUACAUUGACAGUACACUUUUUUUUCCACAAGUAGUCCUAAAAAAAUGUUAUGUCUCUUUUUUUUUAAAAAAUAUUUAUUUUUUAAUAUUAUACUACAUCUCUAUAAGACACUUGUCAAUUUUCUAACCAUGCUUAUGGAGUUUUUAACUCCACUGGCAAUAUACCAAAUAUUAUUCCUUUUAAUUAUAUUAUUUAAAUAUUUAAAUAGUAUUUUAACAAAUUUUUUUACAAUGUAUAUAAAAAAAAUGAUUGGUAAGUCGGCUUUAAAUUUUUAACAAUACUUAAAAUACUUUAUUUCUAUUUUUAAAAACCGUUAAAUUAUCUAUUAACAUUUAUGAAGAAAAUUAAAUAUUUUUUAAAUAAUUUUAAAUUUCAUAUAUAUUUUUUUCUUUUUAAACAAAUAUUAAUUAUGUUUGUUAUUAGUUUUUAAUAGUAUUGUUGAGAAAUAUUUUUAAAUUAUAUUUAAAUAAACUUUUUGUUACUCGUGUAAGAAUACUGAAAUGCCAAAUGGCAAAAAAAUAUAACGUUAGUACAAAUUUUUUUAGGAACUUGUAAUAUAAUAUAUAUUAUUAGAGAUUUAAUCUCUAUUCUUCAAUUUCUAAUAUAAUUUGGUCUUCAUAUUUUUAUAAUAUUUGUAAUUAAUUCAAAUAAUUAGUAUUGUUGAUAUGUUAUUAAUUAGUCUAAGUAAUCAAUAUUGUUAAUUUUUCGAUUAAAAUAUUACGUGGUUAUAUAUAAUUUGAAUACCUUAAAAGUUUGUAGAGAUAAACAAGUUUGUGUCGCUUAUUUGACAUUAAGACAAUGUUUAAAUUUUAAUUUUGGCCUUAAACUAUGUUGAAACUAUCUAUAUAUUUUAAUUCUUAACAUAAUUCAAUCCCUCUACUUUUACAAUAUCAUUAGUCAGUGUAAAUAGUUAAUAUUAUUAACUAUUCCAAUCAAAAUAUUGUUGUCCAAUUUUCUCAAAAACACUUUUUUAAGUAAGGGUGAGUAAAAUUCGAUCUGAUUCGAAAAAAAAAAUCAAAUUUUGAGUUAACUGAUUCGAGUUAUUUGAGUUAACUCAAAUAAGUAAUUCGAUUUUCGAGUUAGAAUCGAGUUGAAUUUUUCAAUUUGAAUAACUCAAAUAAUUAAAAUAAUAUAUUGAUGUAAAUACCUUUUUGGUCUAUGUCAAUUAUAAUAAACUAAAAAAAAUUGUAGAAAGUUAAAAUUUUAAAAAUUUUAUAAAAUAUUAAUUUUGAGGACCUAAAUAAGUUAGUUAAUGAUUUAAGUUUAUCCUACUAAAGUAUCUUUUAUUAUUAUUAUUUUGCUUUAAAUUUUUUUUCAAAUAUAUAUGAUUUUAAAUUUAUGUGCUCUAACAUAGAAUUAGUUAUAUUGAAACAAGAUUUUAAUUUUUUUAAAUUUAACUCGAACAAUUGCACUUGAUUCGGCUCGAAUUUGAUUUCACUCGACUCGAUUAGAAAAAAUUUCAAAUCAAGUUAGUAUGAUAAAAUAGGACUCGUCAACUCGGAAUUUUUUCACUUGUUUCGAUCGAACACUCACCCCUAUUUUCAAGAGAAAAAAUUAUCAUGAGAAUUUUGAAUGAGUAUUUUUAAGAAAAAAAUCUUAAUAAAUAUUUCCAUUGUUAUUGUUACAUGGCUAUCAAGUGAAUUUAUUUUAGAAUUUCAAAAACACAACAAAUUCAGUAAAAGAAAUUUAAUGGCACUAAUUGAACUUAGAAUUUUAAAUCCAAAAAGUAGGAAUAUAUAUAUAUAUAUUAUAGAAAGAAAUAUAUAUUUUUUUAAAAAUAAAAAGUAAGUGAGUAAAUUAUAAAGGUAUGAAAUGUAUAGAAAUUUAAAGCAUAUUUUAACUAAUUUUUUAUUUUAGAACAAAUAAAAGCGUGGACUGGAACCAUGUUCCAUGCUGGCAAGAAAGAACAGAAAGGGGCAGAACUAGAUUUUUGUUUCACAUCACAGUUCACAACAGCCUAAAACACAAAUCAAAAACAGAGUAAAAGGGAAAAAGAGAUGAGCACUAUAAUUAAAAAGGUCUUGGCCCAGGUGCCCCAGGUGGCCCAGGCGGCCCGCCGAACAUUGGCCCACAGCAGCUUUCAAAUAUGCAGCAGCAGCAGAGAACAUAAAAACUGUACCCCCAAAAUAAAAGAAAACAGGAAUCGAGGUUAGCAAUUUAGUCCCCUAACUUUGAAGUGGAAAAGGAAAAUGCUAGAAUUAUUAGUAACGUGUAAUGAAAAAUUGAAAUACUCAAAUACAUAAACUGAGCGUAAAACUUUAAUAACAAUGCAAUUAACUUAAAUUCAGAUCACAUUUAGGAUACGUUAAUACAUUGGAUUUAAAAUCCAUAUAUAUUUUUAAUAUCUAAUAUUACAAUUUUAAUGAUUUACUUCAAAAUUAAAAUUAAUUAAUUUACUCCUAACAACUUUUAGAUUUUGCAUCUAAGUGACUUGCACAAAUAUGAUACCUCUCUUAACAUAUUGACACCAUGUUGGUUAAAAAUAUCUAACAGUAAUAGUCUACAUUAAAUAAACAAUUAAAUGUUUUUUAAUCUAUUUAAAAUUGAUGGAGGAUUAAUAAAUUAAAAAAAGAGAGAGAAAGAAAUAAGAUAUAAAAAAAUGCAAAACUAACAUAAUUUUCUUUUGUCACAACAUAAGAAUUAACAAGGCAUGAUAAAGAGUUGAAAAUGCAUAUAUAUAUAUAUAUAUAUAUGUGAUCAAAAAAGGCUAGCAAAGGCAAUAAAAUGACAUACCCAAACAAUAUAUUUAUAUGAUCUUUGUAAUCAUAAGAUAGUAAGCCUAUCUAACUCACCAAGAAGAAAGAAGACGGCAAAUACCACCGCAAAUAAAAUCAAAGCAGCCACAUAAACCGGGAGGCCCCGGCGGUCCUCCUGGAGGCGGUCCCCAUCCUGGUGGCGGC
rnacentral:lncRNA from 1 species